AUUGAACGCUGGCGGCAUGCUUUACACAUGCAAGUCGAACGGCAGCGCGGGGCAACCUGGCGGCGAGUGGCGAACGGGUGAGUAAUAUAUCGGAACGUACCCAGAAGUGGGGGAUAACGUAGCGAAAGUUACGCUAAUACCGCAUACGAUCUACGGAUGAAAGUGGGGGACCUUCGGGCCUCAUGCUUGUGGAGCGGCCGAUAUCUGAUUAGCUAGUUGGUGAGGUAAAGGCUCACCAAGGCGACGAUCAGUAGCUGGUCUGAGAGGACGACCAGCCACACUGGGACUGAGACACGGCCCAGACUCCUACGGGAGGCAGCAGUGGGGAAUUUUGGACAAUGGGCGCAAGCCUGAUCCAGCAAUGCCGCGUGAGUGAAGAAGGCCUUCGGGUUGUAAAGCUCUUUUGUCAGGGAAGAAACGGGACUGGUUAAUACCUGGUCCUAAUGGCGGUACCUGAAGAAUAAGCACCGGCUAACUACGUGCCAGCCGCCGCAGUAAAAC
rnacentral:rRNA from 1 species